GCAUAACGCGAAGAACCUUACCAGGUCUUGACAUCCUCUGCCAACCCUAGAGAUAGGGCGUUCCCCUUCCGGGGUACGAGAGUGACAGGUGGUGCAUGGUUGUCGUCAGCUCGUGUCGUGAGAUGUUGGGUUAAGUCCCGCCAACGAGCGCAACCCUUCGUAUCUUAGUUGCCAGCAUUCAGUUGGGUCGACUCUAAGGUGACUGCCGGUGACAAACCGGACGGAAGGUGGGGAGUNACGUCAAAUACAUCAUGCCCCCUUAUGACCUGGGCGUACACACGUGCUACAAUGGGCGGCACAGAAGGACGCGAGACCGCGAGGUCAAGCCAACCCUUAAAACCGUUCUCAGUUCGGAUUGCAGGCUGCAAUUCGCCUGCAUGAAGUCGGAAUCGCUAGUAAUCGCGGAUCAGCUACGCCGCGGUG
rnacentral:rRNA from 1 species